rnacentral:misc_RNA from 1 species
GGCAUUAUCAUUAAACUUAAUAUUACAUUAUACUAUAGGUUUGGCCUACGCUGGUACCUUUUAACUAAUACUGCGCUCUACACAUUGAUCAACUCGAUCGCUGCAACAGUAUUAAGUAUUUUCUUUUGUUCUUCUUUUACAUAAUACUAUAGAUCAAAGGUGGGAACUUCAGAAUCAAAGCCAUGGCUAGCCUGGUAAGGCAGGCGGGCCAUUAUAUUCCUAUACGAAUCACUCUCUCUUUUCUCCUUCAGGUAAUCAAUACAUCUCUCAACCUCAGACUUCACUUCCAAGUAUAAUUCAUGUGCUUUCUCCUUGCUUUUAAGUUCCUCCUUCCUCCCUGCUGUUUCAAUUGGCUUGCCAAAGUAGAAGUAAAAACGGCCAGGAACUUUCGGAAGAAUGAUUGGAAGAUGCACAUCUUGGUUUGAAACCUCUCCUUCAGUGUCAUAUCUUAACUUCUCCACCUCACCAGUUAACUCCUCUAUGAGAGCCUUGAGAUAUGGAACCUUCAUCAUGUCAUCAUAAUCAAGGAGCAUCUGGCCAAUAUCAUCUUCACCCACUGUACCAAAAGGUAUAAUUUUUGCUCCAAAUCUAGCUGCCAUCCUGACAAAUUCAGACUGUUCUGGCCAGAACAAUUUGUACUCCUCCCCCUUCCGAUGAAGAGCUUCCCGCAUACCCCCAGGAUAAAGCAAGACAUGGGAUUUUGAUGAUAAAAGUUUAUAAAAGUUAGUGGCUGACACGGGAACCGCACCCAUAAAUCGGUAAUCAUCAUACAUUGAUAACACAGGCAUUUUUCCCUCUCUUCGCUUCUUAAACAUCAAUGGAUGUGCUAUGCCUCGCAGGACAAUCUGAUGUUCAUUCCACAAACGGGACACCAAAGGAACUAGUUCAAGUCCAAGCAUCAUGUGGUAACCAACAAGUAAGACUGGUCCUUCAGAAGGAAUUCCAGUCAGACCCCGAACAAUAUUCCCAUUCUCAAGAGUUGAUAUCAUCACAGGAUUGAAGGCAACUUCCAUCCACCUGUAUGGUUGAUACACACUGUCAAACUCAGAAGUGCUUGGUGGCACAAAAUCUCUAACGAAAUCAAGGUGUCUUCCACGUCGAUAAAAAUUGGCACCCAUUAUGACAGUUACCAAAUUAAAGUCUGCUUCCAGGAGAAGGGCAUGCCCACUGUUAUUAAAUUUCCGGAUUUCACAGUUUGGAAGCAUCUUGUGAAGCUUCUCGGAUUCCUCUGGGCUUGAUAUCAAGUGAUCUUUUCCACUCGAGAGUACCAAAGUCUGAGAUCUGACAGCAUGGAGGCGAGAACUGACAAAAGAUGCAGCUGAUUUGAGAAUCUUCAGCCUCCAAAUAAGUGUUUCCACAGGUAAAACAUCAGCCAGCACAGAUAAGUAGGAUGAAAAUGCUACAUCACCACGAAAUAACUCUGCUACUGCUUGUUGCAAAGAGUGUCCACUGCCAGGAAUUGCCACUGCCAACCUUGCUGUCGUCACACUUAACAGUUUAACCAUGCUUGGAUGGAGUUGCUCAGGAAUGACUUCGCACAACGUUAUCAGAUUUUCCAGCUGAGAUUCACG